rnacentral:misc_RNA from 1 species
AUAAAUUUGAAGCUCUGCUUCACAAACGCUGUGUGCACUGUUUACUGUCUCUGGCAGGAUCAGGGAUGCAAUGUCCCCCCUGUCAAGGGAGUGGGUCGCCCUUUGGGCGACUCGCUCCUUGUUGAAAAACUCAUUGUCUGUCUUUGGUCUGAACUUUUCUUCACAUUCGUGUGAGAAAUUGAAAA